AAUYCUAUMMCURSGYYYYUAGAGUUUGAUCCUGGCUCAGAACGAACSCUGRARRAGSGKGCCUAACACAUGCAAGUCGAACGGGAUGAGGGGCUUGCUCCUCAUUUAGUGGCGCACGGGUGAGUACGCGUAGAUAAUCUGCCUGAUGAUUCGGGAUAACAUUUCGAAAGGGGUGCUAAUACCGGAUAAGCCCACGGGAACUUUGGUUYUUGCGGGAAAAGGGGGGGACCUUCGGGCCUUCUGUCAUCAGAUGAGUCUGCGUACCAUUAGCUAGUUGGUAGGGUAAUGGCCUACCAAGGCUACGAUGGUUAGCUGGUCUGAGAGGAUGAUCASCCMCACUGGAACUGARACACGGUCCAGACUCCUACGGGAGGCAGCAKUGGGGAAUUUUGCGCAAUGGGGGAAACCCUGACGCAGCAACGCCGCGUGAGUGAUGAAGGCUUUCGGGUCGUAAGGCUCUGUCGGAGGGGAAGAAAUGGAAACGGUUAAUACCCGUUUUUCUUGACGGUACCCUCAAAGGAAGCACCGGCUAACUCCGUGCCAGCMGCCGCGGUAAUAC
rnacentral:rRNA from 1 species